rnacentral:lncRNA from 1 species
AUUGUGAAAUUAGGUUUUUGCUCUCAAAAUCCUUAAAUCGUGGUUCAUUUUUAAGAAGAUGAACUGUUGUUGUGAAUAAUUUCUCCCCUUUACUUGUUAUGUUUGGGUCGGGUUGUUGGAAAUUAGAUUGCGUGGAUACUUAGGUGAAAAUUAGAUUGGGUUUUGAAAAUAAUUAGAUUUUACUUAAUUAAAUUUCAAAUCAAUGACGAGCUGUCAUGUGUUAAAGUCGAAGCCUAAUCAAAUGUCUAUUAAUUAGAAGGGUAUUUGUGAGCCAUAUAGAUGGAUGGAAGGAC